ensembl:snoRNA SNORA70 Small nucleolar RNA SNORA70
AAAUAAUAAUAAUUCCGAGUGAGUUCCUUUCCUCAUGGGGGCCCAGUGUGCAAUGGCUGCAAACAGCAGCUUCGCUGGUAGUGAUGCAGCCUGUUUGUUGUAUGGGUUGCUCUGAGGGACCUUGGAGACGGUA